ensembl:lncRNA TEX14BP testis expressed 14B, pseudogene
ACCUCGGAUUCCCGCUCAUACAGCCGGCCGGAUCAUGUGGCAGUCAGGUGGCGACCACUAUCUAGCCCAACGUUGCUGGAGUUGUUGCAGCUCUGCCGGGCCCACAUAUCAGCGUUCGUGCAUGACGGUGAGUUGCCACCCAUGGCAUCUCUGGACCAGUUGCAGGCCAGAUUUGGGAACAGCCCGCCUGGCUCCCUGUCCUCCCUGAGGCUGAUGCAGGCAGACAGCCUCCUGUGGAUGGGUCACAAAAUGACUGUGCAGCAGCCGAAGGCCCCUGGAACCCAGACAGAUGUGCUACUGGCUGACCUUCAGCACUGCAGGCCCACUGGCGAGCUCACAGUGGCUUCAGCUCUCACACCGUGUAGCUGGUGCAGCCAGGCCUGGCUAAAGUGGGCCACCUGGAGCACAGGCGCCUCCUACGCCAGCGCUGGCUGCGGCCCAGGCAGCAGAAGGGCUACCCCUGGGGAGGCCCAGGCCCAGGGCUUCCCCCGCCCCCUGAACUACACCCAUGGCUGCCACUUCAGCUGAUCUGCGGUGACAUGCCCACCACCACCUCAGACCUCUACAGCUUCUGCAUCCUGAUCCAGGAGGUCUUCACUGAGAAACUGUACAUCAAGUGGCUCACAGAGCCAAGACCACACCCAGGCCUGUGGCCCCUGUGAUGUCCCCAGGCCCCAUCCCAUGCCAGGCCUGAGACUCCUGAGGUCAGAGACCACAGCAGGAUCCCAAGGGGUGCAGCCUGGAACUUGGGCAGCAGCUUGACUCUAGGCAGCAGCUCUGGGCCCAGCCCAGGACCCAGCCCUGGGUCUGGCCACAGCCCCACAGCCAGGGGCCCUUCCCUGCACUCCAACUCCAGCCUCUAGGACUCAGCCUCCCUGCUGGGGACCCAGAGCUCUGCGGAACAGUUUGAGGAAGCUCUCAGCCAAGAUUCCAGCCCUGCAGGGGCUGCUGCGGCGCACACACAGGGUUAUUCUGCUGGAGCCCCAGCCCUGCACCCGGUACUGAGCUGACUAGAGGAGGUCUCUUCUCCAGCCUGCAGAAGUGAGACCCGAGGCCUUGGAUGGGAGGACCCCAGCCAGGCUGAGGUACGGUGUGAGGGAGACCCAGAGAGUGCCCCCAGCCCAGCUGCUGAGGACUCAGAGGAGGAAGAGGAGGACUCAGAGGAGGAGGACUCGGAGGAGGAGGACGAGGACAGGCUCUCGCAGGAGCCAGCAGGUGCUGGGCCCACAGGGAAAGCGUCGCUGCUGGAGUGGGGUCGCCGCAGCCUGUGCAGCCUCUGGAGGCCUGGAGGGGUGGGGUCAGUGAGACCAUCCCUGAGAACAGGGCGCACAGCCCCACAGAAAGCUGGGGAAAGGACAUGAAGAGGCGCCUCCUGGAGAGGGCCACAGUAGUGUGAAGCCAGGAAGAGCUGUUCAGAUUGACAGUGGAGACCAUGAAGAGGACACUUCCGGCCCAAAGCACGAAGGCCCUGUGGCUGCCCCACAGGCUGUGAGCACGAGACCAACAGAUUCACAUACAGCUGCUGAGCCAGCAGGACAGCACCUGGGCUCCUGGGUAUGUGGGAGGGCAGUACCCCAGGAGUGUGAGGAUGGCGCGGUGGCUCAGAAGAGCCCCCAGAGGCACGGCUGGGUGGGGUGGAUAAGCAGCCCCCCGCAGAGGUCGGAGAGCAGCACCCAGCAGCGCGGCGGGCUGUGAGGUAGCGAUGGAGAAAAAGCCAAGCUCCCCAUACAGUGCGGCAUCCCUUUCUUACAACGCCCUUUAAAUCAAGUUUCCAAAAUGGCUAGAACUGAGCAGUAUGAUCCUUACACACACACCUGUGUAUGAUCAGACCUGGAAAGCAAGGGCAGGGUAGUCUGCAAAUUGAGAGGAUGCCUCCAGUGGGGAGGAACUCGAAGGGGAGAAGGAAUGGGGCUGCUCUAGUUCUGGCUGCUGGGUUCAUGGGUGUCCAUGAUAUUAUUUUAAAAUGUUCAACAGGAAUAAUAAAGACUUUUAAAGGGCCC